CUCCAAGGCCAUUGUGUUGACAAAUGGCGGUGUGCAGUUUGGGCAGAGCUUCAGAGCUGAGUCUUCCUUUAAAACUGAAGCCAGUGCAGAUAUCCAUUCCACUUUAUUAACCAGUAACUGAAGCAGUGGUAAGGCUGACUGCUCUCAGAAAAAGAACCAUUGUGACAUUUUAAUUUGAAAUUAUGAUCCCGGGUGUGCUGGGUGACAAAAUUACUAAUGUCAAAGUAAUUAGUGAGGUUGAAAAUGGACCAACAGACUCGGAAAAUGAAAAUGGUCUUUGGAAAUGAAUCAAUAAGACAGAGAAUGCACUGACCAUUAAAGGAACAAAUGAGGUUAAGGCAGAGCCGAUUGAAAUCACAGAUGAAGUCAGCACUCUGCUUUUUGAAAGUGACACAGCAGAACUGUCAGCAGGCGGCAACCCAGGGAACUGAGAUAAAAACAAAAGCAUUUCAAACGAUAUGCAUAGUUUCACAGGAGGUUUAUCAGUUAAUGACUCGCUUCCCAGUGUCAAUCUUCUUCCUUCAAAUAAGCUCAUUGGGAUAUUGAUAGUUUGUUUCCAUGGAAAAAUUGCUUCAUAUUGUGUCUACAACUGUCUCUCUAUUAGACAUUAAUCAGAAAAUUAUUUCCAACACCAAUUUUACAAAUUAAUUGUCCUUACUUGUUUUUUCUUUAGACAGCAGCUUAAAAACAACAACAACGACAACAAAAGUUGACAGAAAACAGAAAAAGGCAACAAUCAAAUAUGUGAGAAAGUCAAACCAGAGAGUAUUUCACAGUUUUUGACUGAUUAAACAAGUUACUAAUUAUCAAAACAGUCACAGUGAUACUGGUAACAGGGAUAAACAGUUCUGGCAUUUGCUACAGACUCAUUUAGUAAAUACUGUUAAAUCUUGUCAUUCCAGAUCACUACAGGAAUGUGCGGGCAUGCAUCUCUGCCCAUAAAAGUUAAAAACUUAUGCCUGGUCUGCCCUUUAUGUGUGGUGGCCGGGGCAAUCCGGAGGUUUUUGUGUUUUACUUUACUUUCUCUCUCUCUCUCUCUGUUCUCAGGUGGAUUUAUGGGACGGCUGUUCUGGCUGGGCCCACCUGCUCUGUUUCCCAGGGUUCAGCCGUCACUUCUGUCUCUCAUCCUCUCAUCAGCGAGAAGCAUUUAAAGACCUGCUUGUGCCUUCAUUCUCCAGAUUGUUGUCAUUUCGAUGGUGUGAUUCCUGGUGGCUGAAGUUUCCUCUUUGUCAUUCCUGCAUUGCUGUGGGUAUUCCUGAGUGCAACCCCGCAGGCACUUCAACCUGUGAUCACAAGUUGGCUACCAGCUACCUAGGGAAUACUCACCUGUAACUUAGUUGUCUGCCCCACUCUUCACUGCUCUACCCCCUCCUCCCUGGACUCUUCCAGCCAUGAUUUCCCGCCAUGUUCCUGCAAUCAGACUCUUACCUGCACAAUUCCCUGCUGCUAUUUCCAGCAUUGUUAAAUUCCAAACACCUGUAAAUAAAGCUUUCAAAACGGUUGCUUUCAGAGUCAACUUUUGGUAAUUAUAACAUUAUGUUUGUCCGUUUGCAUCUCUCAACUGCUCCAAAUAUUCCUGCUACUGUACCUUUGGAUUGCUCACUACCGUCACCUUUCCAAUUA